GUCUCAGUCUCACUCUGGUCAGGCCAAGUGGCAGUUCACUCACCCAAAACAGCUCAUGUUUGCCAGUUAGUCUAGCCUCCACGUUUUGAAACAAGAUCCUUGGAAGAACAAUAGACAACGUGUCAUUUUGUCUCCAAGCAGCCUAUAGACUUUGGGUUUUCAAUAUUUUCUUUGUGUUGGAUGCCUCUGUAUUGAAAUCUUCAACUCUUUUCAGAUUACUAUCAAGACUGAAUAUGGAAAGUAUUGGAAACUCCUGAUAUAACACUACAAUAGACUGUCAAGGUUUCUUGGUUUGAACAUCUCAUUUACAACAUGGAUGUGUGAAUGUGAACUAAUUCUGCUGAACCAGACCUCACAAUGGGAAGAGGUUUCUUUCCCCGAUUUUUCUAUCAUGAUCUUGAAGACAUCUAUGCAGCCAUUAACGGGCUACAUCCACCCAUCAUCCAUCGAAAAUGUCUGUGUCCAUAUUUCUUCAACAUGCUUCUAGAAAUAGUUAAUCAACAUGGGGGUGGAUUUAAGUAUUUCCAUUUAAUAAAAGAAAUUGUGAAAUAUC
rnacentral:lncRNA from 1 species